UACUGGUAGCUUUUUUUUUUGUCUGGUUAAUUAUGCUAUUACAAAUUAUGAGAAACAUUACAUAGACGAUAUUAUAGCCGACAAUUCUACCUGCCUUAUGAGGAUUCACACCUGACUGCAUCACCCUGAGUAGCCCUACGAGAUCCAUUCCUGACGGUACUCCUUGCGCCAUGCUGAAGAUCUCUUGUAAGCAUUUUCUCUAAAUUUUCUGCAUAAUUCGCCUUCUCCGGGAAUUGAAACCCAGACCUCUUCCUGUAGAAAUUGCGUUGUCUGGGGUUUGAACCCCAGACCUGGGUGUAGAAGCCUUUAAACCUUGACCACUAGGCCACG
rnacentral:lncRNA from 1 species